CAAGCACUGUGUGACGUCUCGAGAUAGGAUCUUAGGGUGUUACAGAUUGUCACUUCUCGAACUGUCAUGCGGGCUACUUGUUCUUCAGCUAUUACAGUAGAAGCGUCUUGCUCUUCUUGGAUUUGCAAAAUAUGGAAGAGAAGGAUUACUUCUCUCCUUCGUUGAUAGAAGCAUUGCUCGGGUUCGGGACUUGGUUCAACCAAUUCCCGAUCCCUUGCCAGCUUACUACUUUGAAAAUGUAUUUCCUUCAAACACAAAAACAAGACCAAGUGUAAGGAACUAAAGAUAUCUAAAAAGUAAAACUAAAAAUAAAAUAAUUGCCAAAUUACAAGUCCCAGGCAACGGAGCCAAAAACUUUACAGCACACAUGCAAGUGUAUGUGGUCUACCAAGUAAUAUAGUGGCCUUCAAGAAAGUCGAAUAUCAAUCCCACAGGGACUAGAUCUAACAACUAUUCAAUAAAGAUCGGGCUCGAAAUUAUUGGAAGAAUUCUUAACGUCGGAAGAACAAGUUCUUUCUUUGACCUUCCCACGAGCUUCGUCUAGUUUGUGGGGAGUCUAUAGAAGUCGGAUUUGGUAUUUGGAUAUUUUUUUCUAUCAACGAUCUGGCGAAUUAUCAAUGAUUCAUUCUUUGAUUUUCUAGUUUAACUUCUAAGAUUAACUUGAUGGAAAGUAUCCAAAAAGAGCUUGGAGAUUUGUAAAACUAAACGUAAAGUAAAUAAUGCAUAAAAUAAAGACUUGAGACAAUCAAUAGAGUAAAUCUUAGGGUUAAAGAAUGUCAAACAAUCAUACUACGAUAUUUAAAUUCAUUUGUUAACUUGAUUGUCUUGGUUGUUGAUUCGUAGGGUUUUUCACAUGAUCAUGGUCUCCCGACCUCUAAUCGUUUACCUAACCUGGAUAUUACAACUACAUCCUUGAGCGGGGAUGUAAUAAUCUAAUUAAGUUCUUAACGUUAUCAUCCUACAUGUGAAUCUAGUAAGGCUUCUAGGUACAUCUCUGUUCUAGAAUCUAAUUCAAAUCCCAUAUUUCAUAAAAUAAUAAGAACCCUACUUUGUUCAUCCCCAUGUUCUAUCUUUCUAUUCCCCCUCCAUAGAUCACAAGAUCGUCAAUUGAUAUAUUCUAAGGGUGAGAAAUCCUUAAAAUAAUUAAACCAAGUAUGAACACACAACCAAAUAUGAUAAUCAAAUCAAAUGAAAUCAAUUCUAAAUGAUAAUAGUCAUGUUCUUGGCUUUAACCCCAGAAAGGGAGUUUUUAGUCACUAAUAGUCAUAAUCAUCAUCCAAAUAAUUACAAUAAUGAUAAAAAUCAUAAAGAAACUAAAUUAAAAAAUGGAAAACCUAAAAUAAAAGUUGUAGCAGAC
rnacentral:lncRNA from 1 species